rnacentral:lncRNA from 1 species
GAACUUGUGUUAGAUAUACGAAUUUAUGGGUCAUUAACAUAGAGGUUAUAUAUAAAGCCAGAGAGUCACUGAUAGAGAGUGGAAGAGAACAAGGACUGACUAACCUGCAGCACUUCAAAUGUAAAAGUGCAGAAAAGAAGCGUAACUAAGAAAAGAGAUUGAGAAGGAAUGACCUGUGAUUCAGGAAAAAAAAAAUUACAGAUGUGUUGAGCUAGAAUCAAGAAUAGAAAAUGUUUCCAGGAGAGGGGAGAGAACUACGUGUCAGAUCUACUGAAAGCUCCAAUAAAAAGGAAACUAAUUGAUCAUUCGGUUUAAUGAUGUGGAGGUCAGUGGCAACUGAGUUCAUUUUGGUUCCCAUAGCAGCAGAUUCUAAACAAGAAUUUGAGAGGAAGGAGCUUGUUUGAGAGGUGUAGGAACAGCAAUAGUAGAUUCAAAAAAUGAUAUAAGGAAGGCAGCCCAUAAGUGUAUGUCAUUAAGCCAUAGUUGACAACUGGAGCUUAUUCCUACAAGACUCUAAGAAAUGGCAUAAAACACAAUUCAGAGUUGUUCCACACAAAGAGCAAGGGAGAGCCGUGAUCAGCUGCCAAAACAAAGGAAUAGAAAUGGAAGAGUUAGAGGCAGUGUUAUGCUAGAGCUGUCCCUUAGCGAGCUGAUUUUAAAGCUUGAAAUCGGCCAUGGAUGAAUUCUUGGCCUGAAAAAGGGGAAUCAAAAGACGUGCUUUCCUGUGCUUCAGCUGCAAUGUCUAUUUCUCAAGACGCUGAAAAAGAUGAUUUAGAGUUUUAUGAUUAAUGGAAGGGAGGAAUCUACUCUAAAGAAAUUGGAUAAUACUAUAAAUAAGAAAUAAAAAUUAUUUGACAAAAGCU